rnacentral:sRNA from 1 species
ACAUAGAGGUUGUAUGGGAUAAGCGAGCAGGGGACAAGGGACUACAUGAUAGAAGGGAUCUGGAAGCCAUCCUUGAGGAGUCUGAACUUUUGUCAGAUCGAGUCUUGCCCUUGUCUUUGGGGAGAUGAUCAAUCGGAUUGAGAAGAACAUCCUGAGCUCAGCGGACUACGUGGAACGCGGGCAAGAGCACGUCAAGACGGCCCUGGAGAACCAGAAGAAGGCGAGGAAGGUGAGCCUCCCAGGCCCGGCCACUGUCCCAGGCACCCUGUGUGUCUUCCCUGACCCCCUCCUCUCCCACAGAAGAAAGUCUUGAUUGCCAUCUGUGUGUCCAUCACCGUCGUCCUCCUAGCAGUCAUCAUUGGCAUCACAGUGGUUGGAUAAUGUCGCACAUUGUUGGCACUAGGAGCACCAGGGACCCAGGGCCUGGCCUUCUGUCCCAGCAGCCUGGGGGGCAGGGCAGAGCCUCCAGUCGGACCCCUUCCUCACACUGGCCCCUAUGCAGAAGGGCAGACAGUUCUUCUGGGGUUGGCAGCUGCUCAUUCAUGGUGGCCUCCUCCUUCAGGCCUCAAUGCCUGAGGGAGGCCUGCACUGUCCUGAUUGGCCAGGACACACGAUUUUGUAAAAAAUUAAAA